UACGAAGGGGGCUAGCGUUGUUCGGAUUUACUGGGCGUAAAGCGCACGUAGGCGGAUCUUUAAGUCAGAGGUGAAAUCCCAAGGCUCAACCUUGGAACUGCCUUUGAUACUGGGGAUCUUGGAGUCCGGGAGAGGUGAGUGGAACUGCGAGUGUAGAGGUGAAAUUCGUAGAUAUUCGGAAGAACACCAGGUGGCGAAGGCGG
rnacentral:rRNA from 1 species